UACGUAGGGGGCAAGCGUUGUCCGGAUUUAUUGGGCGUAAAGAGCGUGUAGGCGGCCAGACAGGUCCGUUGUGAAAACUCGAGGCUCAACCUCGAGAUGUCGGUGGAAACCGUCUGGCUAGAGUCCGGAAGAGGAGUGUGGAAUUCCUGGUGUAGCGGUGAAAUGCGCAGAUAUCAGGAGGAACACCUAUGGCGAAGGCAGCACUCUGGGACGGUACUGACGCUGAGACGCGAAAGCGUGGGGAGCGAACAGG
rnacentral:rRNA from 1 species